rnacentral:rRNA from 1 species
GACGAACGCUGGCGGCGUGCCUAACACAUGCAAGUCGAACGGAAAUGUUUUGAAAGAUUUCUUUGGACUGUAGUUGCUUUAGUUUAGUUGCCGACUGGUGAGUAACGCGUUAGUAACCUGCCUUCUAGAGGGGAAUAACAUUCUGAAAAGAAUGCUAAUUCCGCAUGACAUAUCUGAACCACAUGGCUUUUAUAUCAAAGAUUUUAUCGCUUGAAGAUGGACUCGCGUCCGAUUAGUUAGUUGGUGAUGUAACGGCUAACCAAGACCGCGAUCGGUAGCCGGACUGCGAGGUUGAACGGCCACAUUGGGAGUGAGACACGAGUCAGACACCUACGGGAGGCGGCAGUGGGGUAUAGGGCGCAAGGGGCGCAAGCGUGACGCAGCAACGGAGCGUGAAGGACGAAGGUUUGCGGAGAGCAAACUUCUUAUAUUAAGGACGAAAAAUGACGGUACUUAAUGAAUAAGCCCCGGCUAACUACGUG